GAUGAACGCUGGCGGCGUGCCUAAUACAUGCAAGUCGAGCGAACAGACGAGGAGCUUGCUCCUCUGACGUUAGCGGCGGACGGGUGAGUAACACGUGGAUAACCUACCUAUAAGACUGGGAUAACUUCGGGACACCGGAGCUAAUACCGGAUAAUAUAUUGAACCGCAUGGUUCAAUAGUGAAAGACGGUUUUGCUGUCACUUAUAGAUGGAUCCGCGCCGCUGUAGCUAGUUGGUAAGGUCACGGCUUACCAAGGCAACGAGGCGUAGCCGACCUGAGAGGGUGGUCGGCCACACGGGAACGUGGACAGCGUCCAGACGCCUACGGGAGGCAGCAGUAGGGAACGGUCGGCAAAGGGCGAAAGCCUUACGGAGCAACGCGGCGUCAGUGAUGAAGGUCUUCGGAGCGUAAAACUGGGUUACGAGUGAUGAACAAAUGUGGAAUGAACUAUACACGUCUUGACGGUACCUAAUCAGAAAGCCACGGCUAACUACGUG
rnacentral:rRNA from 1 species